UACGUAGGGACCAAGCGUUGUUCGGAUUUACUGGGCGUAAAGGGUGCGCAGGCGGUUUAUCAAGACGAAUGUGAAAGCCCCGGGCUUAACCUGGGAAUGGCAUGCGUGACUGAUAAGCUAGAGUAUGGCAGAGGGAGGCAGAAUUCCACGUGUAGCAGUGAAAUGCGUAGAGAUGUGGAGGAAUAUCGAUGGCGAAGGCAGCCUCCUGGGCCAAUACUGACGCUCAUGCACGAAAGCCAGGGGAGCAAACGGG
rnacentral:rRNA from 1 species